rnacentral:rRNA from 1 species
GAUGAACGCUGGCGGCGUGCCUAAUACAUGCAAGUCGAGCGAACAGACGAGGAGCUUGCUCCUCUGACGUUAGCGGCGGACGGGUGAGUAACACGUGGAUAACCUACCUAUAAGACUGGGAUAACUUCGGGAAACCGGAGCUAAUACCGGAUAAUAUAUUGAACCGCAUGGUUCAAUAGUGAAAGACGGUUUUGCUGUCACUUAUAGAUGGAUCCGCGCCGCAUUAGCUAGUUGGUAAGGUAACGGCUUACCAAGGCGACGAUGCGUAGCCGACCUGAGAGGGGGAUCGGCCACACGGGAACUGAGACACGGUCCAGACUCCUACGGGAGGCAGCAGUAGGGAAUCUUCCGCAAUGGGCGAAAGCUUGACGGAGCAACGCCGCGUGAGUGAUGAAGGUCUUCGGAUCGUAAAACUCUGUUAUUAGGGAAGAACAACUGUGUAAGUAACUAUGCACGUCUUGACGGUACCUAAUCAGAAAGCCACGGCUAACUACGUG